rnacentral:lncRNA from 1 species
GGGGGUCUUAAUUCUUUUUUAAAUGUUUGGUAGAAUUCUCCAGCGGAACAACCUGGGUUGAAGAUUUCUUUCUCAGGAGGUUAAUUACAAAUUCAAUUUCCUUCAUAGUUAUGUGACUAUUCAAAUUAUCUAUUUCAUGUGGAUAAGUUGGGGCAGUUUGUGCUUUUCAAGAAAUUUGUCCAUUUCAUCUAAGUUGUCAAAUUUAUGUGUGUAGAGUUGUUCAUAGUAUUCCAUUAUUUUCCUUUUGAUGCCUGCAGGGUCUGUAGUGAUAUUCAGUUUUACUCCUAAUAUUAGUAAUUUGUAUAUUAUAAUAUCUAAGAUUUAUAAUCUAAGAGAUAUUAAUAGUCUUUUUUUCCUUUGUCAGUCUUGCUAGAGUUUUACUGAUCUUGUCAAAGAACAAAUUCUUCACUUCAUUGAUUUUCUCUAUUGUUUUUCUGUUUUCAAUUUCAUCGAUUUCUGCUUUUUAUUAUUUCCUUUCUUCUGCUAGCUUUGGGCUUAUUUUAUUCCUGUUUUUCUAAGUUCUUGAGGGAGAGUUUAGGCUGUUGAUUUAAUCCAUUUUCUCUUGUCUAAUGUAUGCAUUUAGUGCUAUAAAUUUCCCUCUUAGCACUGCUUUGACUGUGCCCCACACAUUUUGAUAUGUUGUAGUUUCAUUUUUAUUCAUUUCACUCUAUUUUAAAAUUUUCCUUGAGACUUUCUCUUUGAUCCAUGGGUUGUUUAGAAUGUGUUUUUCAGUUUCCAAGUGCUUUGAAGAUUUUCUUGCUGUCUUUCUGUUGCAGAUUUCAAAUUUCAUUGCUGGGCAACCAGGCUUUUAUUCCCUCUGAGGCUUCCUGGCCAAUCCUGGCUCCCCUCCUGGUGUGUGGUGGGUGUCACAAUGGGACCCUCAUGACAUCACCGCCCCUCCCCUGGUUACUUGAUUCUGGAAUCGUCUCUCAACCUGUCCCAGCCCAACUCCCUCCUCCCAGCUCCUGCUUCACUCUCUUUUUUGUACUCCUCUCCAACUCUCAUCCACCCCGUCUGUCCAGUGUGAAGCUCCAGAAAUAA